rnacentral:lncRNA from 1 species
GUACACGCCACUCUACACAAGGGAUGAUGCCCAUCUACUCCAGUAAAGCAAACCAGAGGGGACUUUAUAGAAAAUUAAACUUUACAGACAAGAAGGAUAGCGACAUGGUGAAGAGAAGGGGCAUGUAUUGGGAGAGGCAAAGAAAGAAGGGGCAGAUGAAAGAGGAACAGGCAGAGAUAAAAGAGAAUGGAUGGACAGAUUAAAGGGGAAUGUAGAAAGGGAAGAAGGAUGGGUAAAUAAAGGGGCAUAUGCAAAAGGGACAUUAAAGGAAAAAUCAAAAGGGGCCUAAUUAAAUAUAUUAUAAACUAUUAGUCAAGAGAAGUUUAGGGGACAAGAAAAAAAAAACGCACAGACCACGAUGAAAGUCUCUUGACUGGUGUAUUAUCUAUAUAAUACUUUAUAAAUUACAUUACAAUUAAAUUAUAUCAUACAUUACAACUGUGGCCAUUACCUGCAUUUUGAGUCUCCUUAUGUUGUUUUUUUUCUUUUUUCAAUUCAUUUUUGACGUGCAUGAGGGUAACAAGCAUUCUCGCUAUGCCACAACAGUAAAAGCGAGAUAAGAAUAAACAAUAAGUUUAACAGUCUAGGCAUAUUGGUAUGACUGCACACAUUUUUUGUUUUUGUAUGAAACAAGCAUAGACUUAAAGUUACAACACAAACUGAACAUUUUUCGAUAAGUAUAAUGAAUAGAUAUAUGCAAGAUAAACCUGUCAGGGUGUAGCUAAACACAAGAUAUGCACAUAGAUGAGGGAUUCCUAACAGGUUAUUUGAUAUGGUGAGAAGUAUACAAGAGUAUGUUGAGAUCAAGCUAGGUAAGCAUGUCUAGAGACCAGAGCUAUAUGUGCAAGCAUAGAUGACAUUCUAGACAUGGUGUUUGCUACACAAUAUUAAGUGUGAAAGCACUGACUGACAGUAGAUUUAACGAAUAGGAGAGAGAGGUACAACUGGAUAUUUUAGAGUAAACCACCAUUGCUGGUCAAUCCACUAGGUAAAAUAUCUAUUAGAGUGUGCUUAACAGCUUAUAAGUACCGCUGAAUACCGCUUUAGGUAGAAAGUGAAUGAAUGCAGGUGUGGAGUAAUCUAACUCUGUGGUGCCAGUCUGCUGGGGUGUCCUUUUAGGAGCUUUCAGCCCACUCCACAUAGAGGCUUUGGGGGAGAGUCCUUCUCCAUGGCGAGCGGAACCUGUGUGAGAAUAGCCAGGUAGUGUUUGGGGCUGACUUCCCUCCCGCCCUGGAUCAUUGUAGGGGCCAGCACCACUGAGCCACGGACUCGGGGGCUCUGUGAGUCCAAGUCCUUUCCACAAGUGGGGUUGCAUGAGGUCCUGAUGUUGCGACACCGGUUCGGGCCAGUGGGCCUCCGCUUACGUGGACGGUGCAUCCGGGGUAGACCCUUGGUGGCCCUCAAUCCAGGAGGGCAGUUUCUGCGUGGGACAGAAGUGUGCACGAAGCUCGUGUCCGGAGGGGGCCUUUUGCUGCUUUCUUUUCCCGGCUCUGCUCCCCAGAUGCUGCGGGUAAGUAGGUAGGUGGGCAGGGGCUGCCAUGCGUUCCCUUAGUUAGGCCCAGAACUUGUCAAAUAUAGCCUCCAGUGAGGUCAUUGGGCAGCUGUGGCCUCCGGGGCUGUCAUUCUGGUGUUGCUGUAAGUCACUGGGUUGAGGCUUGGACGCGUCCGCCAUUUUGAUGUCAGGAGCUUCGCUGGAGAGGCUAGUAGUUUCCUCCAUGGAUGACCC